rnacentral:rRNA from 1 species
UGGGGAAUAUUGCACAAUGGGCGCAAGCCUGAUGCAGCCAUGCCGCGUGUGUGAAGAAGGCCUUCGGGUUGUAAAGCACUUUCAGCGGGGAGGAAGGCGAUAAGGUUAAUAACCUUGUCGAUUGACGUUACCCGCAGAAGAAGCACCGGCUAACUCCGUGCCAGCAGCCGCGGUAAUACGGAGGGUGCAAGCGUUAAUCGGAAUUACUGGGCGUAAAGCGCACGCAGGCGGUCUGUCAAGUCGGAUGUGAAAUCCCCGGGCUCAACCUGGGAACUGCAUUCGAAACUGGCAGGCUAGAGUCUUGUAGAGGGGGGUAGAAUUCCAGGUGUAGCGGUGAAAUGCGUAGAGAUCUGGAGGAAUACCGGUGGCGAAGGCGGCCCCCUGGACAAAGACUGACGCUCAGGUGCGAAAGCGUGGAGAGCAAACAGG